GUGACCUCAAAUCAGGUAGGACUACCCGCUGAACUUAAGCAUAUCAAUAAGCGGAGGAAAAGAAACUAACAAGGAUUCCCCUAGUAACUGCGAGUGAAGCGGGAAAAGCUCAAAUUUAAAAUCUGGCAGUCUAUGGCUGUCCGAGUUGUAAUCUAGAGAAGCGUUAUCCGCGCUGGACCGUGUACAAGUCUCCUGGAAUGGAGCGUCAUAGAGGGUGAGAAUCCCGUCUUUGACACGGACUACCAGGGCUUUGUGAUGCGCUCUCAAAGAGUCGAGUUGUUUGGGAAUGCAGCUCAAAAUGGGUGGUAAAUUCCAUCUAAAGCUAAAUAUUGGCGAGAGACCGAUAGCGAACAAGUACCGUGAGGGAAAGAUGAAAAGAACUUUGGAAAGAGAGUUAAACAGUACGUGAAAUUGCUGAAAGGGAAACGCUUGAAGUCAGUCGCGUUGUCCAGGGAUCAACCUUGCUUUUGCUUGGUGCACUUUCUGGUUGACGGGUCAGCAUCAAUUUUGACUAUUGGAAAAAGAUUAGGGGAAUGUGGCAUCUUUGGAUGUGUUAUAGCCCUUAGUUGCAUACAAUGGUUGGGAUUGAGGAACUCAGCACGCCGCAAGGCCGGGUUUUUAACCACGUACGUGCUUAGGAUGCUGGCAUAAUGGCUUUAAUCGACCCGUCUUGAAACACGGACCAAGGAGUCUAACAUGCCUGCGAGUGUUUGGGUGGAAAACCCGAGCGCGUAAUGAAAGUGAAAGUUGAGAUCCCUGUCGUGGGGAGCAUCGACGCCCGGACCAGACCUUUUGUGACGGUUCCGCGGUAGAGCAUGUAUGUUGGGACCCGAAAGAUGGUGAACUAUGCCUGAAUAGGGUGAAGCCAGAGGAAACUCUGGUGGAGGCUCGUAGCGAUUCUGACGUGCAAAUCGAUCGUCAAAUUUGGGUAUAGGGGCGAAAGACUAAUCGAACCAUCUAGUAGCUGGUUCCUGCCGA
rnacentral:rRNA from 1 species